UUCUUUACCACUGAGCCCCGGGGGAAGCCCAGACCCAUAUUUACUAAUUGUCUAAAAAAAGGAUUGGCUUUAAUAAGAUAUACAGUGUAGCAGAACAGAAAAUGCUGUCUUACAGUCCCAGUGAGGAGACAUAAUUGCCACACGAAGGGGUUUUUUUCUUAUUUGAAAAAUAUAGUCCUCAUUGCCAUGGCAAAGACCUGUAAUGUAUAUCCUCUUUAAUAUGGCUACUGAAGCUCAGCUAUAAGCCCUGAAUAAGCAGGUUAUUCAAUCACAGAGAAUCUGAGCAACGUUAUGUUCAAAGACAUAAAAGAUGAUGACUGCAAUUUUUUGGCUUCAGUGUUCAGGAACAUAUACAGACUCCUGUGAUUGCCCAUUGAGUAAGGCACAGUUUUCUUUACUGCAUUAACAUUUUUCAUCAAAUGAAAAUUUCAAAAAGUGUAAAAUUCUAAGAAGGCAAUGGUAUUUAACAAAAAAGAAACAGAUUUCAUGGUGGUUCUAUCCAUUAGCUUUUAUGAAUAUUAGUCAUGCAUCAGAAUGAUUGACAUCCUACCCAAGCUCUGCUCCUCACUGGUUAUGUAACCUUGAUUAAGUUACUAAACAUCUCUACACCUCAAUUAUGUCAUAUGUAAAUUGGAAGUUUCCUAGUAUCUACCUGAGAGGUGGAGAGGGAUUUAAAAGCUUAGCCCAUUGCCCAUAAACCUGUCAAUGUCACAUACUGGGGACAAACAGAGCUCAGUGAGUGAAUAAAAUGAUUUGUGAAAGAAACAUUAUUUUAAGACACAUGUGGUGUCUUAAAGCAAUACAAUCCUAAAGCAGGAGACUCAGUCAUGUAUACUAUAUUCUCAGCACUUAUUCAUGUGACUGGCAUAUAUGAGUAGGUGCUCAAAAAGUUGUCCCGAAUGAAUGCAGGGAUAGCUUGGAAUCAUUAUAUCUCAUGUAAGCAGUAAAUCAUAAUUUUAAAGAGCAUUUUCUCUUGUACUUACUCAUUUUACAUCCAUAAGGAAAUGUUGGUGCCAAAUAAAGCAAAAUGAAAUGAAACAAAUAUGAAAACACAAAAAGUCAAACCUCUAACUAAAAGUAGAUCCAUUUAGAGCAAUAGAGCUCCUGCACAUGAAUGCUCAUACCAGCAUUAUUUAUAAGAGCUAAAAAGUGGAAAUAACCAAAUGUUUCCAAAACAAUCAUUCUUCAAGUGAAGAAUGGAUAUGGAGAGUUAAGUGACCAUAAGGAGUAGUGAAGAACUGAUAUAGAGACACACCAUGGAGAGAUUCCGCUAGUUGAAAGAAGACGGUACAAACAGUCAUAUGCGAUCUGAUUCUGUCUCUAGGAAACGCCCAGAACCGUCAAAUCCAUAGAGACAGAGAACAGAGGAGUGGAUGCCAGUGUCUGGGAGUAACGGGAAACGGGAGUGACUGCUAAUGGGUACAAAGUUUCUUCCUGGGGUGGUGUUCUGGAAUCAGAUAGUACUGAUGACUGCACAGCUCUGUGAACAUGCUAAAAACCACUCAAUUGUACAGUUAAAAGCGUGAAGGUGAUGAUAUGUGAAUUAUCUUUAUAAAGCUGUUAUUUAAAAAGUGAUAGAGCUGAAAAUACUCGUAUUAAUUACAGAUCAAGUGCUGGGACAGAAAGAGUCCUGGGGGUUCUAACCUACCAAUAUCAGGACAAAAUAAGAUGGUUAUAAUGCUUUGAUCUUAAAGAGAAGGGUAAAAUUUAUGAAGCAAAUUCAGCAUGUAUUUCAGGAUCCCUUAAUUUCAGGGCCCCUUAUUUCAAGGCCCAGUGUCCUGGGCCCAAGAAACUUGAUUCGGCAAUUUCAUUUUCUUUUUCUUAAGGAGAGCCUCUGAAAUCACAGAAGGCUCCGGCUCUGCAAAACCUUCAUCUGUACCUGUCAGUCCCACAGAAUCAUUCGAGAGGGAUAAAGGACGGUGAGGUUCAGAGACCUCCAGAAUGCCAGGACGAAUUUCUCUCGGUGGAAGGAGCUGUCAGUCCUAACAAGAGUGGCCUGAAAACCUUCACUCUUUGGCUUCUGGUCUUUCAUUGAGCCCUUCAGGAGGAGUUGAGGAGCUUUGUUGAGAUGCUGGACGUACCAGAAAACAUAGGGAUCUGAAUACGUGGUCUGGUGGAAGGAGCUGUCACGCUUAACAAGAGUGGCCUGAAAACCUUCAUGCUCUACCUUCUUGUCUGCAGUUAAGCCCUUCAGGAGGAGUUGAGGAGCUUUGUUGAGAUGCUGGAUGUACCAGAAAAGAUAGGGAACCG